CCUACGGGUGGCAGCAGUGAGGAAUAUUGGUCAAUGGACGAGAGUCUGAACCAGCCAAGUAGCGUGAAGGAUGACUGCCCUAUGGGUUGUAAACCUCUUUUAUAAAGGAAUAAAACGAGGCACGUGUGCCCUUUUGCAGGUACUUUAUGAAUAAGGAUCGGCUAACUCCGUGCCAGCAGCCGCGGUAAUACGGAGGAUCCGAGCGUUAUCCGGAUUUAUUGGGUUUAAAGGGAGCGUAGAUGGGUUGUUAAGUCAGUUGUGAAAGUUUGCGGCUCAACCGUAAAAUGGCAAUUGAUACUGGCAGUCUUGAGUACAGUUGAGGUAGGCGGAAUUCGUGGUGUAGCGGUGAAAUGCUUAGAUAUCACGAAGAACCCCGAUUGCGAAGGCAGCUUACUAAACUGUGACUGACAUUGAUGCUCGAAAGUGUGGGUAUCAAACAGGAUUAGAUACCCCGGUAGUC
rnacentral:rRNA from 1 species